rnacentral:rRNA from 1 species
CCAUCACUACGCUAGAUGCAUAUCAAUAAGCGGAGGAAAAGAAACUAACAAGGAUUCCCCUAGUAACGGCGAGUGAAGCGGGAAGAGCUCAAAUUUGAAAUCUUCAAGGGUUCUACCUUUACGAAUUGUAGUUUAUAGAAGUGUUUUCUGUUAGUAGAGUUCGGCUAAAAGUUCUUUGGAAUAGGACAUCAUAGAGGGUGAGAAUCCCGUAUUUGGUACAGUUCCUCCUAGCGUUGUGAUACACUUUCAACGAGUCGGAUUGUUUGGGAAUGCAGUCCAAAAUGGGUGGUAAAUUUCAUCUAAAGCUAAAUAUUGGCGAGAGACCGAUAGCGAACAAGUACCGUGAGGGAAAGAUGAAAAGAACUUUGAAAAGAGAGUUAAACAGUACGUGAAAUUGUCAAAAGGGAAGCGUUUGACACCAGUGUUGUUUUCUCGAAAAUCAAUUCAAUAAUGUCUGAUUUUGAUGUUAGUAUUGACUUUAUCAGCUUGCUGCACUUUUUUCCUGUCAAUUAUUGAAUGCACUUUUCAGUUAACAAGUCAACAUCAAUUUCUUUUGUUGUAAAAGGGUCAGAUGGAAGGUGGCUUACGCUUUCGGAGUAAGUGUUUAUAGCCUUUUACCUCUGCAAUCGGAGAGAUUGAGGUACAUGCAGCGUAGAUCCUUCGGGGUUAGAUACAUUUGUGCUAAGCUAUAGCCUUGUCAUAGACAACUUGUUGACUAUGAUCAGUCAUGUAGCUUACUCGCUUGUGCUAUUUUACCUACGCUUAGGAUGUUGACACACCGCGUGCUCGGCCUAUACAUGACUCUGCGCAUAUCAAUAAGCGGAGGAAAAGAGGGCUAUUACCUACGCUUAGGAUGUUGAUAGUCACAGCGUGUAC